rnacentral:rRNA from 1 species
CAGCCGCCGCGGUAAUACGUAGGGUGCGAGCGUUAAUCGGAAUUACUGGGCGUAAAGCGUGCGCAGGCGGUUAUAUAAGACAGAUGUGAAAUCCCCGGGCUCAACCUGGGACCUGCAUUUGUGACUGUAUAGCUAGAGUACGGUAGAGGGGGAUGGAAUUCCGCGUGUAGCAGUGAAAUGCGUAGAUAUGCGGAGGAACACCGAUGGCGAAGGCAAUCCCCUGGACCUGUACUGACGCUCAUGCACGAAAGCGUGGGGAGCAAACAGGAUUAGAUACCCGCGUAGUCCCUGUCUCUUAUAA